rnacentral:rRNA from 1 species
AUACGGAGGGGGCUAGCGUUGUUCGGAAUUACUGGGCGUAAAGCGCGCGUAGGCGGUUUAUCAAGUCAGGCGUGAAAUCCCUGGGCUCAACCCAGGAACUGCGUUUGAAACUGGCAGACUAGAGUUCGUGAGAGGAGAGUGGAACUCCCAGUGUAGAGGUGAAAUUCGUAGAUAUUGGGAAGAACACCAGUGGCGAAGGCGGCUCUCUGGACCGAUACUGACGCUGAGGUGCGAAAGCGUGGGGAGCAAACAGAAUUAGAAACCCCAGUAGUCC